UACGUAGGGUGCAAGCGUUGUCCGGAAUUAUUGGGCGUAAAGAGCUCGUAGGCGGUUUGUCGCGUCUGCUGUGAAAACUCGGGGCUUAACCCCGGGCCUGCAGUGGGUACGGGCAGACUAGAGUGCGGUAGGGGAGACUGGAAUUCCUGGUGUAGCGGUGAAAUGCGCAGAUAUCAGGAGGAACACCGAUGGCGAAGGCGGGUCACUGGGCCGCAACUGACGCUGAGGAGCGAAAGCAUGGGGAGCGAACAGG
rnacentral:rRNA from 1 species